UACGUAGGGUGCAAGCGUUAAUCGGAAUUACUGGGCGUAAAGCGUGCGCAGGCGGUUAUGUAAGACAGAUGUGAAAUGCCCGGGCUUAACCUGGGAACUGCAUUUGUGACUGCAUGGCUAGAGUUUGGCAGAGGGGGGUAGAAUUCCACGUGUAGCAGUGAAAUGCGUAGAUAUGUGGAGGAACACCGAUGGCGAAGGCAGCCCCCUGGGGUCAAGACUGACGCUCAUGCACGAA
rnacentral:rRNA from 1 species